GGCACGCCUAAUACAUGCAAGUCGAACGAAGUAGCAAUACUUAGUGGCAGACGGGUGAGUAACAUGUGGGUAUCUUCCCUUUGGUGAGGAAUAACACGAGGAAACUUGUGCUAAUACCUCAUAAGUCUUUACGGAGAAAGCUUUAUGCGCCAAUGGAUGAGCCCGCACUUGAUUAGUUUGUUGGUGGGGUAAAGGCCUACCAAGACUAUGAUCAAUAGCUGAUUUGAGAGGAUGAUCAGCCACAUUGGGACUGAGACACGGCCCAAACUCCUACGGGAGGCAGCAGUAGGGAAUCUUGCACAAUGGGGGAAACCCUGAUGCAGCGAUGCCGCGUGAGUGAAGAAGGCCCUUGGGUUGUAAAGCUCUUUCGUCGGGGAAGAAAAUGACUGUACCCGAAUAAGAAGGUCCGGCUAACUUCGUGCCAGCAGCCGCGGUAAUACGAAGGGACCUAGCGUAGUUCGGAAUUACUGGGCUUAAAGAGUUCGUAGGUGGUUAAAAAAGUUGGUGGUGAAAUCCCAGAGCUUAACUCUGGAACUGCCAUCAAAACUUUUUAGCUAGAGUAUGAUAGAGGAAAGCAGAAUUUCUAGUGUAGAGGUGAAAUUCGUAGAUAUUAGAAAGAAUACCAAUUGCGAAGGCAGCUUUCUGGAUCAUUACUGACGCUGAGGAACGAAAGCAUGGGUAGCGAAGAGGAUUAGAUACCCUCGUAGUCCAUGCCGUAAACGAUGUGUGUUAGACGUUGGAAAUUUAUUUUCAGUGUCGCAGCGAAAGCAAUAAACACACCGCCUGGGGAGUACGAC
rnacentral:rRNA from 1 species